ACUAGCACAAUAACGUCACCGCUGAUCAACUGACGCCAAUGGAAGUACGUAUGCGCUUGAAAUGGAAAACUAUGUCAAAAUAUUACAGAUCAUUGUGCCGGUAGUAAAUUGACAAAGCUGUCAUAGUUUACUUAGAAUUAUUUUAUAGGCUGACAACGGCUCGUUCUAUUCGAACGCAGCUGUCGACCAUGCCCCGCCUGCCCACUUUGUGUAAGUUCGACAUCAUUCGGGGGAUGAAGUUUUUCGACAGCUUCUUUCUUCCUGAUAUAUACCAUUUCUAUAUGUUUAACAAUCAUCGCUUAUGAACUUAGAUACGGCCAGUAGCAAGUCACAGGAUGCGGCUCCAUGCAAAUAGAUCGACAAGCUUCGUUGUAUCUAGGCCGGAAGACUCGUUACUUCUUCUGUGCGCCGAUGCGUAUCGCCACGAUUUUAACCGUCUGCCCAUUACCACGACUCGUUUGAAGCCACCGAUAAUUCGCCUGGUUCUAGACUGAACGUUAUGCUAAAAUACGCAGCUACAGCUGGCAUCCUGACCGGAAAAAGACCGCUCAGCAACUUCGUUCCUGCGCUUCUACCCGAAAAUGACUGAAACCUAGCUAGAAGUUAACUUGUAACAGCAAAUAAGCUUUUUACUAUUUAAUAUUGCUUUUUAAGGGUUUUUCGUUGAACGUUAACAAUGAGAA